AUCUUAAAAAAUAAAAUAUUUUUCUUUAUUCACGGCCGAAAGCACGUACUUGCUACUUCUGUUGGGAAUCAGAAAGACCGACAUUUAUGCUUUGGUAGGGGCGCGCAUGCGCGCUGCUCUAGUGCGCUGGAAGAAACUAGUUGUGCACUGAAUUGAUGUACGAGGCAGCGAAAAAAAAGUAUUCACCAGAGCUGACGCGGUUUAUUGUGCACUCAGGCCUAAACUUAAAAUUGCUUUUGUGGGUUCUUAUGUCGUUGUGUGUUGAAAUUUAUAAUCUAAAAAAUUAUAUCGAGUGAAAAAUAAUAAAAAUUUUAAAAAAUGAAUGCGUUAUCAUCAUCAAAAGGAAAUUUUAAGGAAUUUCGAUACGGAAGCUAAUCUAAUUAUAAGAACAGAUACGUUACCUAAAAAGUCUGCAGAUAAAUAUUUACAC